CUGGGUUAAAACCAAGGGAGAAAAGAAGAGAGGGAAAGUCAGCAGCAGGGGACAGUGGAUGCUAUAGACCCCAAAGCAGGAAGAGGAGAUAGAAGAGAGGUUCCUAAACAGUUGCUGGUAUCUACAUCCAUGUGUCUAUAUCAGACAAGCUGAGCCCAGGAUCUAUGGAGGGCUGAAGACUGUAUGUGAAACUCUGUGGUCUGUCUUGCUGACAUCUGUGAGGCCAGGAGGACAGCAUGUCAUGGAACAUCCAGGAAAGUGGCUUGUAGUCAUCAUAGGUGCUGGAACUAGAGAUGCUGCCACACCCCCGGCUUGAAGUGGUUUCCAUUAUAGACCAUGUUUACAGUUUGGUUCAAUGGCUCUCAGCACCCCCACUAUACAAAUUGUUCCCUGAUAGUCAUCAUAUCCAUUGGUUCCCAGAUUGCCUUAGUGAGGUUAUGGGACAUUCCCCAUCUAACAGGCAUGAGAAUGGGAGGGGCUAACAGGAUUGCUGCCUCCAGAGCACCCUCUGGUGGCCUAGGUGGGCCUGCAGUUUUCCCUCAGCAACUUGGCCCUCCUUGCUAAGUUGUUAGCAAAAAAGCACCCCUUCCAGGUUAUACAAAUCCAAAACCAAACACAAAACAGAGUCUUUGACCAAGCCUUAAAUUGGGCCCAGCUCCUCCUUCCUAGAGUUACCACCUUUGAAAUGCAAAAAAAUUAGCACGUCCCACACACAAGGCAAGCCCGCUGCAACCCCAACACUCAACCACAAGGCAGCCCCCCCCUUCAACAGCCACUUAUCAGAUCGAGAGAGAGAGAACACAUAUUGAUAAGAUUGAUAACAUCAUUUUCUUAUCUUGGUCAUGUUUUUCCAAACUGCUGUGUUUGUGUCCAUCUUCACUGAGAUUAUUUUUUCCCAAACGGCAUUGAUUCUAUAAUUUAAACUAAAUAAUUGAAUGUUUUGGAACUUUAUACAUAAAGGAAAUCCAUUGAGUC